rnacentral:rRNA from 1 species
UUCGGGGCGGCUUCGUCGGUCUGCCGAUGGGUAUGCACUGACGCGGGCGUCCUUCCUUCCGGAGACGCGUCCUACUCUUAGCUGAGCGGGGCGUGGAGACGGAUCGUUUACUUUGAAAAAAUCAGAGUGUUUCAAGCAGGCAUCAUCGCUCUUGCAUGGAUUAGCAUGGGAUAAUGAAAUAGGACCUUGGUGCUAUUUUGUUGGUUUCGAGCACCGAAGUAAUGAUUAACAGGGACAGUCAGGGGCACUCGUAUUCCGCCGAGAGAGGUGAAAUUCUCAGACCAGCGGAAGACGAACCACUGCGAAAGCAUUUGCCAGGGAUGUUUUCACUGAUCAAGAACGAAAGUUAGGGGAUCGAAGACGAUCAGAUACCGUCGUAGUCUUAACCAUAAACCAUGCCGACUAGGGAUUGGAGGAUGUCCACUUUUGACUUCUUCAGCACCUUACGGGAAACUAAAGUCUUUGGGUUCCGGGGGGAGUAUGGUCGCAAGGCUGAAACUUAAAGGAAUUGACGGAAGGGCACCACCAGGAGUGGAGCCUGCGGCUUAAUUUGACUCAACACGGGGAAACUUACCAGGUCCAGACAUUGUGAGGAUUGACAGAUUGAGAGCUCUUUCUUGAUUCGAUGGGUGGUGGUGCAUGGCCGUUCUUAGUUGGUGGAGUGAUUUGUCUGGUUAAUUCCGUUAACGAACGAGACCUUAGCCUAUUAAAUAGUGUCGC